rnacentral:lncRNA from 1 species
UUUGGAACAAAUGCAGACCAAAGUCACCAAACUAAACUAAACUGAAUAUUUUACACCAGAACGGAAUCUUGACAUGUAUGAAAUGGCCAUAAAAAUAAUAAAAAUAAUAUGUGUAUCCUAGUACUACUACAAAAGAAAAAAAAUAAAAAUUACUACAAAGGAAAAUGGAUAUACUCAUCAUGUGCAUGCAAAUAUACAGGGGUGUUUUAUUUACAUUCACGUGUGAUUCUCCAUAUAUUUCCCACAACAAGGCCAGGAAUAGGAAAAGCGGGGAUAAGCGAGAUUCACCAUAUAGCUAAGACAAUUAGUUCAUCAUUGGAUUAUAAAGAUUCAUGAUGUCAGUGACAUGCCACACCAUGAACAAGGGCAUCAACACGAAUAGCAAGAGGAAAAUCAGCCCAAAUCACAUAAGCUAAUGGAGAAAUCUGCCAUUCUUUUGCCAACAAAAUUCGAUCAAAGAAGAGAAGAAAUCUGCAUCCCAGAUCAGGUAAGUUAAUGGAGAAAUCUAGAGUUGUUUUUCCAACAAAAUCAGAUCAAAUAAGAGAAGAAAUCUACAGGAUAACAACAACGCAACGUGAUUUUCCUCGACAUGGACCACCUCGUCCUCCUCCUGGUGUCUAGUCACCAUCGUUACUCACAUGCCCCCCGCGGCCACCGCCAUUAUUGUCCCCGAGUUUGAUGGUAGGCAUAGGAGUCGUUGCCACCCAUCUCCCUUGGUGCCAUUUCCUCCCCCAUCUUGCGGCGCCUCCUCCUGUUUUCACCACUCCCGGGACGCCAAAUCUGCAUGCUCGCCGAUGUUCGGACAAAUAAGAAUGGGAUGGAGCGGAUGCUUGCCUGGAGGUGACUCAAAUUUGAACCCCAUUAUGGGGAUUGACGGGAAAGGGAGCACAACAACGAUAGUGGAGGAGCAUCAGGCGGAGGCGAGGCUCAUAGGGUGAAGGCCGUGGUGAUGAGUGAGGAGGAGGGAGCGGGUGCAGCAGCGGACGAGGGAGCAGGAGGAGGCGAGGGGUGUGGCAAAUGUGGAUUGGGGGGCUAAGGUUAGUGCGGCCCUGCUUAUUGGGUGUCCCACAAGAACAACCAAUCGCACCCUUCCG